rnacentral:rRNA from 1 species
CGCUGGCGGCAUGCCUUACACAUGCAAGUCGAACGGUAACGCGGGGCAACCUGGCGACGAGUGGCGAACGGGUGAGUAAUGCAUCGGAACGUGCCCAGUAGUGGGGGAUAGCCCGGCGAAAGCCGGAUUAAUACCGCAUACGACCUACGGGUGAAAGGGGGGGAUCGCAAGACCUCUCGCUAUUGGAGCGGCCGAUGUCAGAUUAGGUAGUUGGUGGGGUAAAAGCCUACCAAGCCGACGAUCUGUAGCUGGUCUGAGAGGACGACCAGCCACACUGGGACUGAGACACGGCCCAGACUCCUACGGGAGGCAGCAGUGGGGAAUUUUGGACAAUGGGCGCAAGCCUGAUCCAGCCAUGCCGCGUGCGGGAAGAAGGCCUUCGGGUUGUAAACCGCUUUUGUCAGGGAAGAAAUCUUCUGAGUUAAUACCUCGGGAGGAUGACGGUACCUGAAGAAUAAGCACCGGCU